AGACAAAGUAGACUAACGUAGGU
rnacentral:piRNA from 1 species